rnacentral:rRNA from 1 species
UACGAAGGGUGCAAGCGUUACUCGGAAUUACUGGGCGUAAAGCGUGCGUAGGUGGUUUGUUAAGUCUGAUGUGAAAGCCCUGGGCUCAACCUGGGAAUUGCAUUGGAUACUGGCAGGCUAGAGUGCGGUAGAGGAUGGCGGAAUUCCCGGUGUAGCAGUGAAAUGCGUAGAUAUCGGAAGGAACAUCAGUGGCGAAAGCGGCUUCCUGGACCAGCACCGACGUUCAGGCACGAAAGCGUGGGGAGCAAACAGG